rnacentral:rRNA from 1 species
UAGACCGCCUGGGGAGUACGGCCGCAAGGUUAAAACUCAAAUGAAUUGACGGGGGCCCGCACAAGCGGUGGAGCAUGUGGUUUAAUUCGAUGCAACGCGAAGAACCUUACCUGGUCUUGACAUCCACAGAACUUUCCAGAGAUGGACUGGUGCCUUCGGGAACUGUGAGACAGGUGCUGCAUGGCUGUCGUCAGCUCGUGUUGUGAAAUGUUGGGUUAAGUCCCGCAACGAGCGCAACCCUUAUCCUUUGUUGCCAGCGGUCCGGCCGGGAACUCAAAGGAGACUGCCAGUGAUAAACUGGAGGAAGGUGGGGAUGACGUCAAGUCAUCAUGGCCCUUACGACCAGGGCUACACACGUGCUACAAUGGCGCAUACAAAGAGAAGCGACCUCGCGAGAGCAAGCGGACCUCAUAAAGUGCGUCGUAGUCCGGAUUGGAGUCUGCAACUCGACUCCAUGAAGUCGGAAUCGCUAGUAAUCGUGGAUCAGAAUGCCACGGUGAAUACGUUCCCGGGCCUUGUACACACCGCCCGUCACACCAUGGGAGUGGGUUGCAAAAGAAGUAGGUAGCUUAACCUUCGGGAGGGCGCUUACCACUUUGUGAUUCAUGACUGGGGUGAAGUCGUAACAAGGUAACCGUAGGGGAACCUGCGGUUGGAUCACCUCCUUACCUUAAAGAAGC